AGCCUGGGGAAUGCCGAAUCGCGGAUGGGCGGGGCAGCUUCGGGGCUUGGAUGGGGGCUGUUCAUGAUCAGGGUCCAUGUUUGGCCGCCAUUUCGGAAGCGCUUGUCUGUAGGGAAAGGUCUGGUUUCAUCUUUCUCAUCAAAUAUACUAGUGAGGCUCCUUCCAAUGAAUCACAGGACCAUUUAAAGGAAGAUAAAAGCAUGUCAAAGAAUGAAAGUAGUUUUUUCCACCAACUAUUUAACAUUCAUUUUUCUUAUAUAGGCUCAUCUGAAUUUGUAGCUAUGAGUGUACUGGUAGAGUGUGCUUCAUAGAAAAUGAAGCAUGUGUGUGUGAAUGGUACUCAAAGCAAUAGAAUUUCAAGUUAUGGUUAAGUUUUGUGGAUUGUCGUGUAAGAUUGAUGCUUAAUUAUCUAUGGGUUGCGCUUAUGGAAAGGAAUAAUAAUAUUAGUUUUGAAAAGACCACCAGGAAUGCAAACAAAAAUUUUGCUGUUUUGAUAGCUGGCUCUGUAAUGACUCUAUUGUGUGUGUGAACAUUUAACAACUAUAGCUUGAUUGGUGGUUCUGAUUAACUUCAGUUUUGUGAUGGUACAUUUAAUGUCUAUUAGUGGUAGCAGUGGCAGAACAAUCCCCCCCCCCAGGCCCUACAUGCUAAUAUGUUCUGGUCCUCCCCCUUCAUAGUAAGUCUAACAGCUGGAAUUGGUUUGCAUUCAGUGACUUUGGAUGCAAUACAUAAUAAAUAGUUGUGAACUCCAUGUCACAACAGCGUAUAAAGUGACAUUUGGAAUAGAGAAAUAGCAGAAUUUGUGAAGAACAGUGGGCAAACGAAAUUUUAGUUACUGUGAUUCAAUUCGGCACUCAUGCACAAAGCGCGAGCACCGAAACCUGGAAGUAACCUGUUCCAGUACUUCUGGGUUUGGCGCGUCCAUAUCCCGAAAACGCGCAACCUGCAGUGAGCGCAACCCGAGGUAUGACUGUAUGAAGUAUUUGAUUGUAUUGCAGAUCCUGACAAUGAACACAUAAUUUUUGCUGCAGCUCUGUAUGCUGGUAGAAAAUGUAUGAAAGGAUGUCUUUUGAAACAAUUUGUGUUAUGUCCAGCAACCCUGAGCAUGGAAAAGCUGUCAACCUUGAAUAUUUCAGUUGUUUCAACAAGUAAAAUAUUUAAUAAAUGAGGUCAGUUUUUUCUAGUGAAAACAUGAUAAAAUUCUAUUUUGUUUAUUGAAUUAAAUAAAUGAACAGUUACUUGUGUUUUCAGCUGUUUUGAAUGCUGAGGACCUUGCAUGACCCCACAGUGCUGUGGAAUCUGCAGGAACAGAUCAUCUCAGUCUAAGCAGAAAUUGUGAUGAGUUCUUAUCUUUCUGUUCUUAGUACUUUUGUCUCAAGCCUGCAAUGGCUUUCUUGAAAUUGGCAUCACAGUGCAGAUUCACAUUUCAUUUACUGCUCAUUUUCAGCUUUUGCAAAUUGAUUCU